rnacentral:sRNA from 1 species
CAUUAGCUGCUGCUGCAGCAGUUGCUGCAGCAGCAGCAGUUGCUGCUGUAGUGGCUGCUGCAGCAGUUGCUGCUGCAGCAGAUGUCGCUGCUGCAGUAGUUGCUGCUGCAGCAGCAGUUGCUGCUGCAGCAGCAGUUGCUGCUGCAGCAGCAGUUGCUGCCGCACCAGCAGUUGCUGCUGUAGCUGUUGCUGAAAAAUCAGUUGCUGCAGCAGCAGUUGCUGCUGCUUUAGCUGUUGCUGCUGCAGCAGUUGCUGCUGCAUUAGCUGUUGCUGCUGCAGCGGUUGCUG